rnacentral:siRNA from 1 species
CGCGGCGGAGGUGGUGGUUUCA